GCCAGGUAUGGUAGCAUGGGCCAGUAGUCCCAGCUAAUUGGGAAGCUGAGGUAGAAGAAUCACUAGAGCCCAGGCAUUUUGGACUGCUGUGCACUUUGGCAACUUGGUGUCCACACGAAGUUUGGCAUUAAUAUGGUGACCUCCUGGGAGAAAAGGACCACCAGGUUGUCUAAGGAGAGGUAAGCUAGCCCAAGUUGCAAACACGGUGGGUUAAAACUCCCAUGCUGAUUAGAGUGGCAUCAUGCCUGUGAGUAGUCAUAAUGAGACCUCACCUCCUAAAAAAAUAAUACCAU
ensembl:misc_RNA Metazoa_SRP Metazoan signal recognition particle RNA